CUCAGCAGUGCCGACAGGACGGUGACCACAUAGCUUUGUGAAGCACCACGUCGCAUGUCUCCUGGGAAGACAGUUCCCACACACCUCUUCAAGGAAUACGUUUCACUAAGUUAGCAAAGGCACUCACAAGUCCCUUCUGGGUAGUGGUGUUAACCGUGGCUGGAGAACAGCAGCAACCAGAGCUGGUGCCUACUGCUGUGGGGAGGAGGCACGCUAAUGCUACUCAGACAGUGUGGUGCGAGGAGCCUGCCCCAGGCCGGGCUGGGAGACAACCAGGAAAUCAGUGUGAGUAAGGUAUAUUUAGAGCCAUCCCAGUAUAUGCAAUUCAAAACAUUUAAUAUAGUUUGAAACACAGGCCUCAGAACUGAUGUAUUAACUGCAUAAUAGCAGGAGGAUUAUGGAUCGGACCCAACACUACCAGACUCCCACUGAUUGCACUGAGCUUUGGAGCAGGCUUGGCGAGAGGCUAUGAAGAUUGGAGGAUUGUGCCAUAUUGCUCUGAGCAUCUCCAGCUAUCCUUGAAGCCUGUGGCAGCAACCCAAGAUUUCUUUGGAUCAAGCCUUCACUCAUUCAGAAGCACCUUUCAUAGUCCACAGUAGGAGUGGUUCAGUGGAGCUAGAACAUGCAUAGCAGUGGCCAAGAAGCAUGUUAGGAGACUGGAUACCCAAAGCAGAGAGCUAUAAGCAGUAAGCAACCUGACAAGUCUGAGGCUG